ACAUGCUUCUUUAUAUCCUCAU
rnacentral:miRNA from 1 species